rnacentral:rRNA from 1 species
UGGGGAAUAUUGGACAAUGGGCGCAAGCCUGAUCCAGCCAUGCCGCGUGAGUGAUGAAGGCCCUAGGGUUGUAAAGCUCUUUCACCGGUGAAGAUAAUGACGGUAACCGGAGAAGAAGCCCCGGCUAACUUCGUGCCAGCAGCCGCGGUAAUACGAAGGGGGCUAGCGUUGUUCGGAUUUACUGGGCGUAAAGCGCACGUAGGCGGACUUUUAAGUCAGGGGUGAAAUCCCGGGGCUCAACCCCGGAACUGCCUUUGAUACUGGAAGUCUUGAGUAGGGUAGAGGUGAGUGGAAUUCCGAGUGUAGAGGUGAAAUUCGUAGAUAUUCGGAGGAAAACCAGUGGCGAAGGCGGCUCACUGGACCAUUACUGACGCUGAGGUGCGAAAGCGUGGGGAGCAAACAGG